AUUGAACGCUGGCGGCAGGCCUAACACAUGCAAGUCGAAUGGUAACAGGAAACAGCUUGCUGUUUCGCUGACGAGUGGCGGACGGGUGAGUAAUGUCUGGGAAACUGCCUGAUGGAGGGGGAUAACUACUGGAAACGGUAGCUAAUACCGCAUAACGUCGCAAGACCAAAGAGGGGGACCUUCGGGCCUCUUGCCAUCAGAUGUGCCCAGAUGGGAUUAGCUAGUAGGUGGGGUAACGGCUCACCUAGGCGACGAUCCCUAGCUGGUCUGAGAGGAUGACCAGCCACACUGGAACUGAGACACGGUCCAGACUCCUACGGGAGGCAGCAGUGGGGAAUAUUGCACAAUGGGCGCAAGCCUGAUGCAGCCAUGCCGCGUGUAUGAAGAAGGCCUUCGGGUUGUAAAGUACUUUCAGCGGGGAGGAAGGGAGUAAAGUUAAUACCUUUGCUCAUUGACGUUACCCGCAGAAGAAGCACCGGCUAACUCCAUG
rnacentral:rRNA from 1 species